rnacentral:lncRNA from 1 species
CUAUUUAAUUUAUUCAAAUCCAUUUGAGAAAAAUUCUCUUUCGAAGCAUAUUUAAAAAUUUAUUUACUAAACCAUAAUAAAUCACAGUGUUUUAUUAAUCUCUCAAGCUUAACCUAAUUUACUAUCUCGUUAGCCGUCCACUUUACUCAAUUAAUUUAUUUACUGCAUUUUAAUUUCAUUAGUAUAUAUUUAAAGUUUACCUUUCACAUCAUUAAUCCCAAUAACCACAUGCAAUAAAAUAUGCAAGCAAAAAUUUAAUUUCAUACAAUAGAAUAUCAACAUGCAAUAGAAUUAACAAAUGGAAAUCAAAGAAUUUUUAAUCCACCCAAACAUGCUGGAAAACAAUAAGCUAGGGUUCUGUCGAGGUGGUUUUCACUGCGUAGAUAGUGCCCAAGCCUAUUCCUAGCCACUCACGUGUACUUGCACCACAUCAAACUUCCAA